rnacentral:lncRNA from 1 species
GGGGCAUAUAGUUCUCAUACAUCUCCUGCUCAAGCCAUGGAGCAAACAGGAAAUGCAAAGAGACCACAAGAAGAGGUAGAAGGUCAGAGAUCAAGUGGGUAAUGGUGAGCAAGAAGGAUACAGAAGCCUUGAGCCUUGGUUACAGCCUGAAGGGACAAGCUCACUAGUAAAUAGCCUGCCCCAAGCCCAGGACUCUCAAAAUGUGAGCGGACAGCUUCUGACGGUGGAUGCCACACCAGAUCAAACCAAACACAGAUUUUGUUUGUCUCCUACAAUAAACUAUCUUUUCAGGUUCA